CUAGAGAACUGUCCCUUAGAUAAAGUCACUGAAGAACUGGAGUGGUGGAGAAUCAAAGUCAAGAAGCAGAAGGCAGCUUGUAACUGCAGGAGCAGAAGAGAGUUCAUAACAGUUUCCACCAUGUGGAGCUGGCAGUGCACAACAAUCUGGAAGAGGACACAACCAGGGCAGCUGACCCCAGUAGGCAAAGGGAUGCCCCAUACCAUAUGGCACCAUGCUUGUCAUUGCAAUUGGGAGAGCUGGCUGGAAGAGUGGCCACUGCUCAAGGUCCUGCUAGGCACUGGUCAGCAGGUGACUGUUCUUCAAAUCUGACACCACCUCCACUGACAUCAUUUGCCAUGCUUUGGCUGCAGAUUCCCUUUCACAUACUUGCAUCUCUCAAUUAAGAUACACACCUUUUUUGUUUUCCUCUAAAUUUUGCCCUACAAUACAUAAAAAUGUGUUUAUUGGAGAUUAAAAAAGAAAUCACUGAAUAAAAGUGGCAGAUCAGACCGUAUCUGUGAUGUCUUCAGGUUUGUUUUUUUAAACUGAUUUUGCUCAUGCAGCUUAUAUGUGCAGCCAUUCUUAUUUCUGCUAGGAGGUGCAGCUGACUACUUCAAACUGUACUUCAAUAUCUUGGCUCCACAAAAGUCAACAAUCAGUGGCAAAACUUAUUCAAGAACACCAAAAGCAUGUACCUGCAUAGAGAAUAG
ensembl:lncRNA